rnacentral:lncRNA from 1 species
AAUCAAUUUCAAGGAAGCACUUUGGGCGCCAGGAUUCCCAGCACUUAGCUGGUGGGCAAAGGGGCUCAUCCCCUUCCCCACAUCCCACCUUCCCUCCUCCCAGUCUUCGGGAGUGCGGAGCUCCUGCCGGGAUCCAAGAGCAGGCUCUUGGAGGUCGAAGAAGGAUAUAACCUCCAGACCUGGAAUUUAAGACGCAAGAACCAGCCAGCAAAUGUGGCAGCAGAGCAUGCGAGGGACUGCUGAAGGCUUUUUAUUUGGAAGCUAUGAAACUUGAGGUUCUACUGAAAAGGAGAAGAGGCUGCUGGAGAUGGGAAGNCAAGAAAACGACAGCCUCUCACUGGCAUGGAGCACAGCAAGCAGGCUAGGCUGGCUGGCUAGUGAUCUCCAUCCCAUCUAUCUUUGCCUUCUCAGCACCGGGAUUGCAUACCCACCCAGAAUUCUUGGCAUGUUUCUUCAUCCUCUCCAUUUCAANUUUUAUUUUUAUAAAAGGAAGAUAACAGUAAGAUAUCUAAUUUCAUUAAUGUUUAAUCAAGAAAGUUGUAAAGGUUUAAAUAUAUGUUCUAUUUUGAUUUAUCUCCUAGUGUGUUUCAAGGAGAACUUUCCAAGAUCUGAGGGUCAACUGUCAGCUUCACGUGUUUUAAAUUGACAUGUAUUUGUCCAGAUUUACAGAGUUCAGCAUAGCAAGUUAACGCAUGAUAUGUAAUAAAUGAUGAUCCAAUUG